UUUUGAAAUCAUAUUCCGCAAAAAUAAAGGUUCCUAAGCUAAUAGGGGACUAAAAACACAUUAAACCUGUCCUCAGACUAGUUGGGUUUUUUUUUUUUUUACGCAGUUCAGGUUCUGUACAGAUUUCCUGGAAUUGUUUUUUUACAUUGGAAAGAGUGUCAACACAGAUGUGUUGCCUCACUAGCACAAACAGACAGGACUAUAAAGGUCCUGCAAGAGUCCUGUUUGUCAUUCAGGACAAGGAACUGGCAUGGCUCCCCCGAUAAGCAGUUUCGCUCUGGCUCUUCUGAGUGUCCAGUCUUUUUUCAGCACUGAUAUACCCUGUGAGAAAAUCACAAAGCCUCUGGUACUCAGUGGCAACUACAGCUCAAUCAUGGGGAAGUGGAUCCUGGUUGAAAGCGUACAUGAUGGUAUAGUGGCAAUGAUACUAGAGUCGAUGGAGUCACACUGGAUGGAGAUCUCACCUGGUACAAAAAACGAUACCAUCCUUUUGAGACAAGCACUCAGUAUAGGGAAAGAAUGUACGCUUAGAGAUCCUGUGGAAUUCCCUGUUCAAAAUAAUGCUGUGCAUGACACUGGCACUGAUGAAAUUUACCAGUACUACUUAUUACCAUCCUGUUCCAACUGUCUCACUGGAUACUACAGCCAGGAUAAUGGAGAGUACCCCACCAGAGUACUUAUGCUGUUCUCCAAGGAACGCACAGUUUCAAGAAGAGCAAGGAAACUGUACCGAAAGCAGGUCAAGUGUAUGGGAUUUCCUGAACAAACUUUUAAAGUCUACGAUAAACCAGAAUUGUGUCCGAUGGAAGAAUGAAAACACUUCUCAUCGCCACGUUACAGUGAUUCUUUCUAUCGAUAUCAAUUCCUGUCUGUUUUGACCUGUUCAACCUGAUUAAUGUGUGUUAGAAAUAAAGUGCUCAGAAAUCUGUACACCCGAACCCGAUUCAAAUAUAUUAUACUGUCAGAUUAACUUUCACAGAUUGGGAUUAGCACCUCUACUGUCUGAUUAACACGUAUUGUGUUGAAUUAUGUGUUCUUGUUGAAAUAAAGUGCAUUCACUCUGUCUUGGGGGGUUUUAGACUAGCUAGUUCUUCCUUUCGGACCCUGGGGUUGGCUAGUAAUUCUAAUUAAAUGCGUUUUUUUGCUAAUUCUAUGCUACAUUCUGUGUUAAUCGUAUGCUUAAAACAACAACAAACCAAAAAAUACCUUUUAAGUUCAACCCUAUUACUUAUUUUAACAGGGAAUUUCAGCCAGUGUUGACAAAGACACGUUGUUAAAACACCAGAGCUUAAUGACACCACAAGCAUGAAACCACACUUACAUUAAAUGUGUCUGUGUGUAUCUAUCUAUAUAUAUAUAUACACACACACACACACACACACAUAUAAAUAAAUAUAUUUAUUUAUUUAUUUAUUUAUUUAUUUAUUUAUUUAUUUAUUUAUAUAUAUGUGUGUGUGUGUGUGUGUGUGUGUGUGUGUGUGUAUAUAUAUAUACACACACACAUAUAAAUAUAUAAAUAUAUAUAUAUAUAUAUAUAUAUAUAUAUAUAUAUAUAUAUAUAAUAGACUUUUUGGACAUCCUACCUGAUUUUAUUGUCUUUCUAUUCAUCUUUUUACGUCUCAAGCACCUACAAAUUGCCUGAGGUACGAAACGUGCCAUAUCAAUAAACUUUGCCUUGCCUAAUAAUAAAAGUUAUAUAUAUACAUAUAUAUAUGUGUGUGUGUGUGU
ensembl:lncRNA